AAUCUAGGAGACAGGUGCUCACUUGUCCUCCUCCAUGCUUAGAAAAUACAGGGAGGAGGCCAUAGUGGCAACUGUCACCGUGAUU
ensembl:miRNA